GACCCCGUAGCUCAGUGGAUAGAGCGCUUCCCUGCGGAGGAAGAGGCCGGGCGUUCAAGUCGCCCCGGGGUCG
rnacentral:tRNA from 1 species